rnacentral:rRNA from 1 species
GAUGAACGCUGGCGGCGUGCUUAACACAUGCAAGUCGAGCGAGAAAAGUUCUUCGGAGCUUUUCUAGCGGCGGACGGGUGAGUAACACGUGGGCAACCUGCCUCAUAGAGGGGAAUAGCCUUCCGAAAGGAAGAUUAAUACCGCAUAAUAUUGUUGAAAGGCAUCUUUUAACAAUCAAAGGAGCAAUCCGCUAUGAGAUGGGCCCGCGGCGCAUUAGCUAGUUGGUGAGGUAACAGCUCACCAAGGCGACGAUGCGUAGCCGACCUGAGAGGGUGAUCGGCCACAUUGGAACUGAGACACGGUCCAGACUCCUACGGGAGGCAGCAGUGGGGAAUAUUGCACAAUGGGGGAAACCCUGAUGCAGCAACGCCGCGUGAGUGAUGAAGGUCUUCGGAUUGUAAAGCUCUGUCUUUAGGGACGAUAAUGACGGUACCUAAGGAGGAAGCCACGGCUAACUACGUG